AAUUUAAAUUUAUUUAGGUUUUCCCGAAAAAAUAAGAUCUAUUUAAUUUAAUAUGUUAGUUCAUAUAUUUAUUGUAGCAAAAAUAAAACAAUAAAAUUUAAUAGGGAUGAAAAGUCCUUCAAUUAUUUUGAUAUCUGGAUAAAGGAUAAAUGUAUUUAGUACAGUAUAGAUACUUAGUUAGUGGCAAGAUUAGCUAGGAUUUAGAAUUAUUAACUUAUUAAUCUUAUAAAGGUAAUUCUUUAAGUAUAUUAGUUGAUUAAUAUUAAUUUUGGAGAAAUCUAUAAAAUAUUCUUAAAUAUCAUCAGAUUAAGGAUAAUAUUAAUUCUGUUUAAAUUAGUAGUUAGUUUAAUUAAAAUUAAAGAACUCGGCAAAACAAUUUUUCAUCUGUUUAUCAAAAACAUAGCUUAAGGAAAUUCAUUUUAAGUUAAAUCUGCCCAGUGGGGCUCUUAACGGCCGCAGUACUCUGACUGUGCUAAGGUAGCAUAAUAAAUUGGCUUUUAAUUGAAGUCUGGAAUGAACGGGACUAUGGAAAAUUACUGUUUCAAUUUUUUUCUUAUGAAUUUACUUAGUAAGUGAAAAUUCUUACCAAAAUGACAUUAGACGAGAAGACCCUAUGAAUUAUAAUAAAUAAAAGUAGACUCUGUUUGCAUUUUUGUUGGGGCAACAAAAAUGGAAGUUAUAACCGUUUUAAUAGUUUAAAGUAUUUCUAAAUUUAUAAAUAAUUUUAAUUACCUUAGGGAUAACAGCAUUAUUAUUUAAUAGAUUGUGACCUCGAUGUUGGAUUAAGGACUUUUAUAAUAAGCCAUUAAAAAAGAUAGUUCUGUUCGAACCUUUUACCUUA
rnacentral:rRNA from 1 species